GAAGAAUUUUUACAAGUCCCACAUCGGCCAGUUCUUGUCUUUUCCUCCUUGUAUUUUAGUAUAAAUAGGCUAGUUCUCUUCACUCAAAAACAUAACACUUGACUUGGAGAAUUGAGAACUAGGCUUAGUACCACAAGGUUCUCUUCUCUAAAGUUGAGAGUUUAGUAUUAUUUUAUUCUCCGUUGAGAGUUUAAUAAGUUUUUUUUAUUUCCUGCCGUUACGCUGUCG
rnacentral:lncRNA from 1 species